CCGUUUCCCAGGGCUGGAUCUACAGUGCCGGGAACCCGACGGCCGCAGCAAGCCUCCAGGAGGGCGCAGGGGAGCCGCUCAUGUCAGCGCGGGGGUCCCGGAGCUUGCACUGGUCAGGUUCCUCCAGGAUCACGGGGUCCUUGAGGACUUUUCCCUACCUGCGAUCCCUGUCUCUCACUUUGCUGAGAGGGACUAUUGAAAACGAAAAGGAAGAAAUAAGCCAGAGACCCCAGACACACGUUUGUAGCACAGAUGCGCACGCCUCAGAAACCUUUCAUAAGGAAACAGCGGCUCAGAGGCACUGGGCCAGUGAGUGACUGAUAGACAUGGGAACUGAACAGAACAGACACAGAGAUUCUCCAUCUUAAACAGUACAUGCUGCAGCCUCAAGAGGCAGGUAUGACCCAGCAACACCAAAGAAUUAUCAGUGUCUGCUUAUCCAGAGGGAAAAGGAAGAGUUGCUCCAGGCCAAGGCUGAAGACCAUGCACACAGCUGCUGCUGUGCAGUACUUUUCCUGCGUGUAACAAAUGAGCUGCAGUCCCUGUAGUUCCUGGUUUUAUUCUGUGCCUUUGAAAAUAAAGAGCAAUCUAUUCUC